rnacentral:rRNA from 1 species
UACAGAGGGGGCAAGCGUUGUUCGGAAUUACUGGGCGUAAAGGGCGCGUAGGCGGCCUUCUAAGUCGAACGUGAAAUCCCCGGGCUCAACCCGGGAACUGCGUCCGAGACUGAAAGGCUUGAAUCCGGGAGAGGGAUGUGGAGUUCCAGGUGUAGCGGUGAAAUGCGUAGAUAUCUGGAGGAACAUCGGUGGCGAAGGCGGCAUCCUGGACCGGUAUUGACGCUGAGGCGCGAAAGCCAGGGGAGCAAACGGG